GAAGUUAUCCACUAAAGCCAGAGCCAAGAUUAGCAAGAAGGUCCCGUAAAUGGAAAGAACACACUGGGUGGAGAGUGAAGGGAAGUCGAGAGAAAGCCUUCAUGGGACGACACAGGAAGCCCCUGCAUGGUGGCGAGAAUAAAGGGAACACGGGCAGGAGCACGGGAGGUUCAGCUGGAUCUACUUCCUCCGAUGAGUCCAGAGAAUCUCUUGUCUCAAAUAUCAUUGUGCCUAACGACUUCGCCAGUCCAUCUGUCUGUUCUGGGCUAUGCGUAUCUUCAGGCAGGUAUGAAAGCCACACUGGCCAGUCUGAGUGACCUUCCCCAGAUGUGUCACUCCUCAGUCUCCUCAUUCGAUAGCAGGACAGUGACCAUCCCUUGGACCACAUGUGAUUCAUCUCAGUUCGCCGUCUGUUUCCUGUGGACUCUCCCGUUUUCUCUUAUAAUGAGAGACUGGGGCCUGCGGACUUAAGCAAGAGAAGAGGUUUAUUUAGCCCCUGUUUCUGGGGGCAUAAGGGCAUGGACCUGGCUUCUGCUCAGCCUGUGGCUGAUGACAUACUGUGGAAGAGAUCACACUGUCAGACCAGAAACCAGAGCAAGAGGGGCCAGUCUUGCCCUUCUAAAACUACCAUCUCUGGAGGACUAACUCGGGCUCCCACAAUAACUUUGUCAAUCCCUCCCGAGGACAACAUCCCCAGUGACCUAGCCAACUCUGCCCGCUUUGGGGUCCACAGCCUCUCAACCUCAUGACACCGGGGACCAAGCCACUGAUCCGUGAACCCUUGAGGCACAAAGCACAUAGAAACUGUGGAACCCUGUUGCUCUUUUGCAAUACUGCCCUCCCUGUGAGCACCACCACCCCAGUCCAUCAUCACCGCUUCCUGCCUGGAUCAUUGCAAACAGCCUCCCCUCACUUACCACAGCCCCAUCUGUGUUGCCUCACCGCAUGGAAAGUGUGACCUGUUCAUGCAGAGGUCAGAAUGGCACGCUUCCUUCAGAUGUCUCCAUAGCUGCCUGUCUGCACAGGGCAACGCUCCUACGCUGGCCGCUGGGCUGGCCCCGAGGCUCCAGCGACACCAGCGGGGCCUCCAGCGACACCGGCGUCCAAUGCUAUGCACCCCACACUUUUUGUGUUCUCCUCCCAGCUCCCUCACCUCAGAGCUUCACAGUUCCCCUCCCUGGGAUCCUCGCUCCGUCGUGGAGAGCCCUUCCCAGCUCUGGUUGAAGUCAUGCAUGUUCCUAUCCUUCCCCCUGCUCACUCCCAUCGCUCUGUGUGAAUUUUAUUUAUUGGCCUGCCAGUUUUACUUCUCAGUCAGAUUGUGAGGAGAUGGUGACCUCACAGGAGAGUGUGCCUGUCUGGUCCACCACUGCGUCUCUGGGGCCUCGAACACAGCCUGCUCUGGACUCUCAUGGUUCUCAUAGGCCAGUGUCACAUCCACUGUGUUUUUGGACAAAGACCAGAUCCUACACAGAAGUUGCAUUUAGGGCGAGUCGUCCUAUUCCAUUUAAACUAAUCAAGACAGUCCCUCAUAGGCAUGCCUACAGGCCAGCUUGGUAUAGACAGUUCCUGACAGACUCUUCCCAGGGGUUUCUGACUGUGUCAAGUCGACAACAAAAGCUAAGGGGCUGGAUUCACCAUACAAAGCAUAAACAAGAGAAGCAGGUGGGAAUGGGGAGGGUGUGGAAGGUGUGAGCGGGAACACGGGGACAAGAGAGGACAGACGGGGCCUGCACUAAUGUCAUCAACAGGCGUGUUGAGGCGGGAGGAGCAGCCUGAGGCCUGGUGUGCAGGGGAACAGGCCCAGGUGAGAGGCCACACAAGGGAAGGGACAGCGAGAGCAAGCUCCAGGGAGGUGAAGAUGCCGAAGAAAGCUGACAUGAACUAAUACGUUAGUUUAAAACACAGAAGUGCUGAGUGUCAGUGCACGGAUGGCUAGGAAAACGUGGCCCAUGAGAACGGACUGCUCAGUUGUGAGAUGGGAAAUUGGGCCCAACGCUAUGAUACGGAUUAACCUUGAGAACACUGAGUCAAGUAAGCCAGGCUCAGACAGUUGGUGUGGCAUGGUUCCAUGAGUGCGGCAGAGACAGGAAGUAAGGUGCAGGCAGAGACAGGAAGUAAGGUGGUGAUUGCUGGGGACCGGGGAGAAGGGUCUGGAGAAUUGCAGCUCAGGAAAAUGAGGGAGCUCUAGAAACAGGCGGCAAUGGCUGCACUAAGUGGCCGUGUGCUCAGGGCCACUCAUCCUGUGCCAUUAUCAAUGAGUGGCUCAGGGCCACUCAUCCUGUGCAAUUAUCAACAUGUUUUAUCACAGUAUAAAAAUAAGAAUUUAAAUCCAAUAGAUAUCAUUACAAAUAAGAAAAUGGACUGUGUUCUUUAUGAACACACACACACACACACACACUUUAUACAUGCUAGCCUGUUAGGCAGGGUGGACAUAACAAGGCUACAAACAGACAAAUGAUCCAAGGCAGAUAGCAAGCCUCUGCCUGAAUCUGGAGAAUGACACUCAAGGACAGCAUAGUUAGUGAGCUGGGUGAAAGAGCCCUCUCUCCAGGACCUUCAGGGGUCAUUAUCCCACAUCCUCCCUAGAGAGAGGAGUGGGCUCCCUGCACCCUAGAACACCCCCAAGCCCUUCAAACUUCAGUUCCUACUAUGGUACUUCUGGCUGCCUGACUCUCUCCUUUACUGCUAAUCAGGAAGACUGGAAGUGCCAGCUGCCUCCCAAAUCUUGUCCCAGCCUGGCCAACCACCUGGCCCAGACUCAUGGCCAGCCCAUGGCUAGCACACUCAACAAAGCUUAUACAUACAGUAGGUGCUCAGACUGAAGAGAGAAUGGAGGGGGAGGCUUCUCAUGACCUGGAAUGUGAGCCCAUGUUCACUGACACCCCUGCCCUCUGUAGACGAUCUUCCUUCACCUAAUUCAACAGACCUCUAAAACCCUGGAGCAUAAGAAUGGCCUCUUGCUCAUUUUUGAAUGACUGAGGGUUAAUGCAGAUUGCCAGCUUGACAGAAUUUAGAGUCACUUAGGAGGCUUCUGGGUGUGCCUGUAAAGGAUUAUCUUGAUUGGGUUAACUGUAAAUGGAGUUCUUAAUUGGUCUAGAUAAUAAAAAGCCUGAGUCAGACGUAGAGGGAAAUGCUGAGAGAUCAGAGAGAAGGAGCAAGCCACGGCACACCUCACCUCCCUAGCAUCUCAGCAGACAAGAGAGCCAUUUUCUGUUCCUCCCUGCUUAUAUCCUGUUUCUGCCCAGCUACCUCCAGACCUCUAUGAUCAGCUAGUGGCAAGCUCCAUUCUCUGACCCUCAGACAGGCUUUAAUUGUACAAGCAAGACAUCGCCACAGUUAACUGAAGUAGGGAAGCCAGGCUAUCUUAACUGUGGGCAGCACCAUUUUAUCCAGUACAGCUGGAGCCCUGUACUGGAUAAAAAGGGGAAAGCUAGCUGAGCCCUAGGGUCAUGACGUUCCACAUCCUGCCCCAGGUGCAUGCAACGAGCCACCUCAUGGUCCUACUGCCUGGACUUCUCUGCCAUGCUGGACUACACCCUUGAACUCAGAGCGAAAUAAACUCCUUUUCCCUUAA